CGCGCGUCCCGUGGCCUGCCUGGGGUUGGAGCGAGGAGUCCAUUGGGCAGGACCGCACCAACCCUAGCUCCCAAUCCACAGCCACGCACUCCUCCCUCCCCCCUCUCACAGCCGCCACACCCCAUUCCUCUCUUCCUCCUCCCUCCUCCUUCCCGGAUCCCUGCCACCGCCACACCCACUCGUCUCCUCCUCUCUCUUCUAGCUAACUCCUCCUUCCUGAUCUCUGCGUCGGCCGCAGCGCGAGAGGAGCAGCGGCGGCGGAGAUGCUCCGAUGGCGGCGUGGAGUAGCAAAGCGGCAGCGCUCGGGCGCGAGACGACAUAAGCGGGAGCGGCUACUCCGGGCCCCGAUCUGGGGGGUUCGGUUUCAGGGCGCCGACGGCUUCUUUGUCUAUGACGCGGGGCCGUGCCGCGAGGGGAAGCCUUGGAUACAUGCAGAGGGGCUCCCCGGGGGGCGCAGAGGAGGGGGUUGGACGAGGGGGUGAGGAUGCGUGAGGCCAGAAGGAGUUUGGGGUCGCCAGAGCAGCAUAGCCCGCACUGGGGCUGGUCAUCGCUAGAGCAGAGGGGAGGAGGUCGAUGCAGGGGACGCCACGGAUGGUCGGGGCGCUGGCUCCUCCUUUACCCAUGCCACCGCUGUCCUGCGUCAACGAUGCCGCCAUGGCCUUCUCGCCACUGACCUCCCAAGUGCUUCUCACCGCUGCAUUCCUCUUUCCAUGAAUUUUUGCCUUCCACGCUAAGGAGCAGGGACGGUCUGUAGGCUAGCUAUAGGGGGAUGGACUCCCUUUGUCCAGUACCAGCCGGUGAAGAUGGAAGGAAGCCAUGGGUGCCUCAAGGCUUAGGAACUUUUUGGGAUAACUGAGUUGGCAAUGUCAAAAAUGUAAAAGGAGAAGGAAAUCACCAUUCGAUUUAUGAUUGGGCGUUGGUUGGAGGCGUUGGCGUGAAGGUAUCGUGAGUUAUCUGCAAGGGCAUUGUUGUGACGUGCUCCUCCAUGUCUCCCGCGAGUUCUUGGUGUGGUGAUCAUGGCUCCAGGGAGCAGCGCUUCAAGGUGUGGCUGCAUGUAAAGUUGUCAAGAUGAUCUGGUGCUUGCUCGAGCCGUUGAUUACUGCUGCUUUGCAGUUCAAGGUCUUACUACAUGAGAAAUUUAUUCCAAUGCUUGCUCAACCCUUUUACCAUGAUGACUACCAGAGGAACCUUCGAUGUGUAUAGAAGGCGAUGCAUAUGGGGACAGACAAGAACUAGCGAACUUAAUAUCAGAACUAUGAAUUCUUUAAUUAUUGGAGGUUUUCAUAUUCAUAGCAACACAAGGCGGGAUAUGAUGCAGUUGCAGAGAGUAUGGGCAUAAAAGUUUUGAAGAAAUUUGUGAAGGUUGUCAUUAAGAUCUUUGAAGAGAGAUAUCUCCUUGUACCAAAUGAAGCGGACGCUACAAGGCUUCUGCAGAUGGGUGCAUCAAAUGGCUUCCCUGGUAUUUGUGGAAGCAUAAAAUGUAUGCAUUGGAGCGACAUCAUGGGUGCCGGUGACAGAAUGAUGGAGGAGCGGGAGAAGCAGGAGCUGCUCGGUCGCGCUGGCGCUAGUGAGAUCUUCCAGCGUGCGCCGACGGACAAGCCGACAUUCACGCUAGCCCAGAUCAAGGAGGCAAUCCCUCCUCACUGCUUCCAGUGCUCGGUGAUCAAGUCCUUCUCCUAUGUGGUCUAUGACCUCGUCAUCAGUGUGUCCCUCCUGUUCGCCGCCUUGGUCUGGAUCCCAGCACUCCCGAGCAUGCAACAACUGGGCGCCUGUCCGCUCUACUGGGUGCCUCAUUUUGAUUUUUUUACCUUGAGGGCCGCGACAAGGCAGACAGGUGGCGGGCGGCAACAAUAGGGGUUGGUGGAUGCUCCGAGACCAAUAGCAUGCUUAGUGGUUGUCGUUUGCUCAUUGUUGUCCUGGCUGUGCUUCUUCCUUCUGGUAAUGCACUACUCCUUAGCUUCUUUCUUUCCAUUUCUUAUGAGUCCUGAGUUUUGCAUAUGCUGCUGCCUCUGCAAUUGAUAGUAUGUGCUUUUUUUGCUUGGUAUAAUUUGGUGGGUGUAUUUUCUGGUUCUAGGCCUACUUUUGUGUAUGGUUUAGCUGUCUGCAUAUACCAUGGGUGUGUGUGCUUGUGUGCUAAUGAUGAUGUUGGCAUGAUUUAUUUUCUAUUCUUUCCACUAGAUUAGCUUACAAUCAGAUUGGAGUAGUGGAGAUAAAAAUACAUUGGCUGGCUGUGUCUCUUAGAUUGGCAGAAAUCACAACAUGUCAGAUUGAUUGGUGGCCAUCUUCCUCAGUUUGUGCGUAUUUAUUACUGGGAAGAGAACCAGGCUACUCAUCAAUUAAUAAAAGCUUUAUAGCUUUGUUCUCUUUCCAUUCAUUUCUUUAGUAUUAUUCUCUUAGAUUAAAAAUAUUAUUGUGAUGUCGUCCUGUUGUUUUGUAUGUAUUGGAUGACCAUUCAGACAUGUUUUAAUGCGUUAAUAGAUAGAUGCACUUUAUGUCUGCAUUGUUGUGCCUUGCAUUGUUGUCCCUGUGUUCUUACGGUUUUGCAGGUUAGACGAACUGCUCUGUUCCUAGACCCGCGGCUCGUUUCUGCUCCUCAAGAGCAGGUGUCCGCGUCUUCACCAUAGCUGGUGUCCACAUGUUCAUCAGAGCUCGUGUCCGAGGCUUCAGCAGAGCUACUGUCCACACUUUCGUCAGAGCUAAUGUUCACAGGAUCAUCCAUGCGAGCUCCCCUCAUGCUCAGCAGUGGUGGAAACCUAAAAUAACGUAGAUUAUCAAUAAACAUAGAGUGAUCAAGUCACAAUACUGUGUUGACGUGUAAAUCUGCUAGAGGUUUUGAAUGGUACUUUACACCACCAAAUUAGAAUUUGUGUAUAUAUAUCUCAUUGUACAAACUAAGACACCGUUUUUUGACUAAAGGAGAUUAUGUUUACUAUCAUAUGUACUUGCCCACAACGGGUCUUUUAUCAUCGAGGCUGGUUACAGUCAUGAUCAGUUGAUGAUUUUAAAAUAUUUUUAUAUAAGUAUCUAUAAAAAUUUGUAGAAAUAAUUGUUGAAUAUAUUUAAGUUUUGUAAUCAUAUAGGGCAUCUUGUUGUCUGUGGACAUUUAAUUUUAUGGAGUAUUUCAAACAGGUAUUUUGUCUGACACUUCUACACAGAUAUACCAUUACACUUAUUCUAUGUUGUAUCACUAUUUCAAAACUAACUCUGACUAUUACGUUAUAGGAUCAUAUGGCAGAUUUUACAACAAAACUAGCUAUCAUUAUUUUAGUGGAUUGAAAUUGAAUGAUGAUAAUAUAAGAUAUCGAUAUUUGGUAGAUGACAAAAACAACACUGAUCACAUGGAUUGUAUGAUUCUGGAUAGACCCCUAGGAACGGAAACAACAUAGAUCUUGCCAUUCUUUUUAUAUAUAAAUUUGUUACUAUAUGUGCUUGCCCAUAAUUAAACCAACUAAAUUAUAGAUUUUCUUUUCAAUGUGCACAUGGAUCUAGCGGGUCUCUACGCCAUUUGGAGCAACGGGUCCCCUAGAGGCGCAGCAACAGACGAGAGAGGGUCACCGGUGCCGGCAAGGUCAAGUGCGACAUCGUGGUUGGUGGCAGCUCGAUCCUUCUUCUUCCACUUCACCGUUGGAGAGGUCAUAUAGGUCGAUGGCGCCUUGAUACACUCCUGGAUCCUUCCACUUCCCCCCUAUGUAACACUGAGCACCGGUCCCUCAUACAGUGGUUCAGAAAAAAAACUAUCCAAUGGAGAUGAUGCAUGAGGAGCAGCAAAGACAUGAUCCAUGAAGCCUAUGUUGUUCUUUUUUUCGCUCUGAACAAGCAAUCAACGCGGCACAUGUGGAAGUUGAGCUGUGAAUGGCACCGGUCUUGUCAUACUAAUGAGCAGGAGCACCGGCCACAUUACUCUUCAUGCCACUCUGAGCAGUGGCUGCUGCUUGAGAUUGAUUUCCAUGUUCAAGGGAAGGGAGACCUGAUUGAGUUCCUGUAUAUGCAAGGAUAAAGAAGAAGGGGCAUUGUCGUGGUUGUUGCUGAAGGUGUUGGUCAGGAGCUGAUUACCGGGACUGAUGACAAGAAUGGAGAGCAGGAUGAGUAUGUCAACAUGUUGUUCCUUGACGUUGGCCUUCUUCUAUAAAGUUCACAUGCAAAUCUCCUCCAUGGUUUGAAAAAACUAAUUUAAACAUUUUGUUUCUUUGAUGGUUACUCAUUUCUCUUACCGUUGUUGUAUCAAAACAAUUGUAUUUUUGUUGAUGGCCGCUUGGGCUCAUUUUCGAGGAGAAUGAGAUGUGGAAUAAACUA